rnacentral:rRNA from 1 species
AUGUGGAAGAUUACAAUGCCACCCAGAAUCAAGGUGUUCAUGUGGUUGGCGCUUAGGAAUAGUAUACUUACCAAAGACAAUUUGCUUCGUAGGGGGUGGAAAGGUGAUGUUGCUAGAUUGUUGUGGAACAUUUUAAAAUGUGCUUUCAAUUUGAGAAACAUUCCAGAAUCCCUGGAUGUGAUAAUGAAGACCUGGGUGAAAACCUUUGGAAAAGAUGAAAAAGGUUUGACAAACCCCGCAAGAAGUAAGAUGAUGGAGGCUGGAGUGAAACAAGGCUGGUUUUCGGUUCUGAAUCCAAACCCUGGGCCGCUCCUACAGAGAUCAUGGAGCAUUGGGCAAAGGCAACUUCACUCGCACGCUGCGCUGGUAUGGGCUUGCGGUGCGGAGUGUAGUGCAGCGUGGCUUGUGCAUCCCGUGGUUUGA